rnacentral:rRNA from 1 species
UGCUACAAUGGCGUAAACAGAGGGAAGCGAGAUCGAGAGAUGGAGCAAAUCCCAAAAAUAACGUCCCAGUUCGGACUGUAGUCUGCAACCCGACUACACGAAGCUGGAAUCGCUAGUAAUCGCGGAUCAGAAUGCCGCGGUGAAUACGUUCCCGGGUCUUGUACACACCGCCCGUCAAGCCAUGGGAGCCGGGGGUACCUGAAGUGCGUAACCGCGAGGAGCGCCCUAGGGUAAAACUGGUGACUGGGGCUAAGUCGUAACAAGGUACC